GGAUGUAAGGGUGAUCAGGUUGAGACAUCUGUCAUCCCAUUGGUCUCCAGGGUUGAUUUGGCUGGUGUGGUUGGCUAGGCUGGUGUCCCCUUCCUCCCUUACCGCUCCAUGUGCAUCCCUCCUGAAGCUGCGCGCUCGGUGGAAGAGGAUGACCAUCUCCAGCAGAAGGAGUAUACCAUUCUUCGGUCAAGGGUUGUGGA